rnacentral:rRNA from 1 species
ACGGAAGGCAGCAGUGGGGAAUAUUGCACAAUGGGCGAAAGCCUGAUGCAGCGACGCCGCGUGAGUGAAGAAGUAUCUCGGUAUGUAAAGCUCUAUCAGCAGGGAAGAAAAUGACGGUACCUGACUAAGAAGCCCCGGCUAACUACGUGCCAGCAGCCGCGGUAAUACGUAGGGGGCAAGCGUUAUCCGGAUUUACUGGGUGUAAAGGGAGCGUAGACGGUUUGGCAAGUCUGAAGUGAAAUGCGGGGGCUCAACUCCUGAACUGCUUUGGAAACUGUCGAACUAGAGUGCAGGAGAGGUAAGUGGAAUUCCUAGUGUAGCGGUGAAAUGCGUAGAUAUUAGGAGGAACACCAGUGGCGAAGGCGGCUUACUGGACUGUAACUGACGUUGAGGCGCGAAAGCGUGGGGAGCAAACAGGAUUAGAUACCCUGGUA